rnacentral:rRNA from 1 species
UACAGAGGUCCCGAGCGUUGUUCGGAUUCAUUGGGCGUAAAGGGUGCGUAGGUGGCGCCGUAAGUGGGGUGUGAAAUCCCGGGGCUUAACCCCGGGACUGCAUUCCAUACUGCGGUGCUUGAGGACUGGAGAGGAGACUGGAAGUUUACGGUGUAGCAGUGAAAUGCGUAGAGAUCGUAAGGAAGACCAGUGGCGAAGGCGGGUCUCUGGACAGUUCCUGACACUGAGGCACGAAGACCAGGGAGCAACGGG